rnacentral:tRNA from 2 species
ACCGGAAUGGUGGAACUGGUAGACACGCACGUUUCAGGGGCGUGUGCCGAAAGGUAUGCGGGUUCAAGUCCCGCUUCCGGUA